UAGCUACUUCCUCCGUUCCAAAUUAUUCGUAGCAGCGAUGGAUGUAUCUAGAACUAAAAUACAUCUAGAUACAUUCAUACCUGCGACAAGUAAUUCGGAACGGAGGGAGUAGAUA
rfam:Triticum aestivum genome assembly, contig: Triticum_aestivum_CS42_TGACv1_scaffold_373968_5AL